CAAGUCGAACGGCAGCGCGGGGCAACCUGGCGGCGAGUGGCGAACGGGUGAGUAAUAUAUCGGAACGUACCCAAGAGUGGGGGAUAACGUAGCGAAAGUUACGCUAAUACCGCAUACGAUCUAAGGAUGAAAGCAGGGGAUCUUCGGACCUUGUGCUCCUGGAGCGGCCGAUAUCUGAUUAGCUAGUUGGUGAGGUAAAGGCUCACCAAGGCCACGAUCAGUAGCUGGUCUGAGAGGACGACCAGCCACACUGGAACUGAGACACGGUCCAGACUCCUACGGGAGGCAGCAGUGGGGAAUUUUGGACAAUGGGCGAAAGCCUGAUCCAGCAAUGCCGCGUGAGUGAAGAAGGCCUUCGGGUUGUAAAGCUCUUUUGUCAGGGAAGAAACGGUUUGGGCUAAUACCCUGAGCUAAUGACGGUACCUGAAGAAUAAGCACCGGCUAACUACGUGCCAGCAGCCGCGGUAAUACGUAGGGUGCAAGCGUUAAUCGGAAUUACUGGGCGUAAAGCGUGCGCAGGCGGUUUUGUAAGUCUGACGUGAAAUCCCCGGGCUCAACCUGGGAAUUGCGUUGGAGACUGCAAGGCUAGAAUCUGGCAGAGGGGGGUAGAAUUCCACGUGUAGCAGUGAAAUGCGUAGAGAUGUGGAGGAACACCGAUGGCGAAGGCAGCCCCCUGGGUCAAGAUUGACGCUCAUGCACGAAAGCGUGGGGAGCAAACAGGAUUAGAUACCCUGGUAGUCCACGCCCUAAACGAUGUCUACUAGUUGUCGGGUUUUAAUUAACUUGGUAACGCAGCUAACGCGUGAAGUAGACCGCCUGGGGAGUACGGUCGCAAGAUUAAAACUCAAAGGAAUUGACGGGGACCCGCACAAGCGGUGGAUGAUGUGGAUUAAUUCGAUGCAACGCGAAAAACCUUACCUACCCUUGACAUGUACGGAAGGCCGAAGAGAUUUG
rnacentral:rRNA from 1 species